UCCGGGAAACUGGAAUUAAUACCGCAUACGCCCUACGGGGGAAAGAUUUAUCGGGGAAGGAUUGGCCCGCGUUGGAUUAGCUAGUUGGUGGGGUAAAGGCCUACCAAGGCGACGAUCCAUAGCUGGUCUGAGAGGAUGAUCAGCCACAUUGGGACUGAGACACGGCCCAAACUCCUACGGGAGGCAGCAGUGGGGAAUAUUGGACAAUGGGCGCAAGCCUGAUCCAGCCAUGCCGCGUGAGUGAUGAAGGCCUUAGGGUUGUAAAGCUCUUUCACCGAUGAAGAUAAUGACGGUAGUCGGAGAAGAAGCCCCGGCUAACUUCGUGCCAGCAGCCGCGGUAAUACGAAGGGGGCUAGCGUUGUUCGGAAUUACUGGGCGUAAAGCGCACGUAGGCGGAUAUUUAAGUCAGGGGUGAAAUCCCGCAGCUCAACUGCGGAACUGCCUUUGAUACUGGGUAUCUUGAGUAUGGAAGAGGUAAGUGGAAUUCCGAGUGUAGAGGUGAAAUUCGUAGAUAUUCGGAGGAACACCAGUGGCGAAGGCGGCUU
rnacentral:rRNA from 1 species